UUAAGAAGUAACACAGUCGGGGCGCAUGUUGCAGAGACUUCCGAGUCUUUGCUCCAGCUCGGAUUUAUUUCCAGUUUUAUGUGCUUACUGGUGAAGAGCAGCGGUACUCAUGGAGCUGCUGGGAGGAGAGUUUGGAGACAUGACUCCUCAGGAGCUGGCGGCUCCUGUCAACACCGUGGCGGAAAAGUGGAAAUUGCUACCAGCCUUCCUGAAGGUGAAAGGUUUGGUGAAGCAACACAUCGACUCGUUCAACUACUUCAUCAAUGUUGAGAUUAAGAAAAUCAUGAAAGCGAAUGAGAAAAUAACCAGCGAUGCUGAUCCAAUGUGGUACCUGAAGUACCUGAACAUCUACGUUGGGAUGCCUGAUGUCGAGGAGAGCUUCAACGUAACCAGACCGGUUUCUCCUCAUGAGUGUCGCCUCAGAGACAUGACCUACUCGGCACCGAUCACGGUGGACAUUGAAUACACUCGCGGCAGCCAGAGGAUCAUCCGAAACGCUCUUCCGAUUGGAAGGAUGCCAAUCAUGCUGCGAAGCUCCAACUGCGUCCUCACGGGAAAGACGCCUAUGGAGUUCUCUAAGCUCAACGAGUGUCCUUUGGAUCCAGGAGGUUAUUUCAUCGUAAAAGGCCAGGAGAAAGUCAUCUUGAUUCAGGAGCAGCUGUCCAAGAAUCGGAUCAUUGUGGAGCAAGACAGGAAGGGAGCAGUAGGAGCCUCAGUCACCAGCUCCACUCAUGAGAAGAAAAGCAGAACCAACAUGAUUGUGAAGCAAGGCCGCUUCUACCUGAGACACAACACGCUGUCUGAAGACGCUCCUAUCGCCAUAAUAUUCAAGGGCAUGGGUGUAGAGAGUGACCAGGAGAUAGUUCAGAUGAUCGGCACAGAGGAGCACGUCAUGGCCAGCUUCGCUCCGAGCCUGGAGGAGUGUCAGAAAGCUCAGAUCUUCACACAGACUCAGGCUCUGAGGUUUCUUGGGAAUAAAGUCCGGCGGCAACGGAUGUGGGGAGGCCCCAAGAAGACCAAGAUGGAGGAGGCCAGAGAGCUGCUCGCCUCUCUCAUCCUCACUCAUGUCCCUGUGAAAGAGUUUAACUUUCGGGCUAAAUGCAUUUACCUGGCUGUGAUGGUCCGGAGGGUGAUCCUGGCUCAAGGCGACAACAAAGUGGACGACAGAGAUUAUUAUGGGAACAAGCGUCUGGAGUUGGCUGGACAGCUGCUGUCUCUGUUGUUUGAGGAUCUGUUUAAAAAGUUUAAUGCCGAACUGAAGAAGAUCGCCGACCAGAUCAUCCCCAAGCAGCGAGCCGCUCAGUUUGACGUGGUCAAACACAUGAGGCAGGAUCAGAUCACCAACGGCAUGGUCAACGCCAUCUCCACAGGGAACUGGUCUCUGAAGAGGUUCAAGAUGGACCGUCAGGGUGUCACCCAGGUUCUGUCCCGUCUCUCCUACAUUUCGGCUCUGGGGAUGAUGACCAGGAUCUCCUCCCAGUUCGAGAAGACCAGGAAGGUCAGCGGGCCUCGUUCUCUGCAGCCGUCCCAGUGGGGAAUGCUGUGUCCGUCCGACACUCCUGAGGGAGAGGCCUGCGGUCUGGUCAAGAACCUGGCUCUGAUGACACACAUCACCACAGACAUGGAGGACGGGCCCAUCAUCAAACUGGCCUUCAACCUCGGCGUGGAGGACGUCAACCUGCUGUGCGGGGAGGAGCUCUCCUACCCGAGCGUCUUCCUCGUUUUCCUCAACGGUAACAUUCUGGGCGUCAUCAGAGACCAUCGGAAACUAGUCAACACCUUCAGACUGAUGCGCAGGGCGGGUUUCAUCAACGAAUUCGUGUCCAUCUCCACCAACAUGACCGACCGCUGUGUCUACAUCUCGUCUGACGGAGGACGACUCUGCAGACCGUACAUCAUUGUGAAGAAGGGACAGCCGAUGGUAAAUAACAAACACAUUGAGGAUCUGUCUCAGGGCUACAGAACGUUUGAGGACUUUCUGCAUGAAGGCCUUGUGGAGUACCUGGAUGUGAACGAGGAGAACGACUGUCAGAUCUCCCUUUAUGAGCACCUGAUCAGCAAAGAGACGACACACUUGGAGAUCGAGCCCUUCACGUUGCUCGGAGUGUGUGCGGGUCUCAUUCCCUACCCCCACCACAACCAGUCACCCAGGAACACAUACCAGUGCGCUAUGGGCAAGCAGGCCAUGGGAACUAUUGGCUACAACCAGAGGAACCGCAUCGAUACUCUGAUGUACCUGCUGGCCUAUCCUCAGAGGCCAAUGGUCAAAACCAAAACCAUCGAGCUGAUUGACUUUGAGAAGCUGCCGGCGGGUCAGAACGCCACCGUGGCCGUGAUGAGUUACAGCGGCUAUGAUAUCGAGGACGCUCUGGUCCUCAACAAAGCCUCGCUGGACAGAGGAUUUGGUCGCUGCCUUGUCUACAAAAACACAAAGUGCAUUCUGAGGCGUUACACCAACCAGACCUUUGACAAGGUGAUGGGGCCCAUGCUGGACGCUGCUACCCGUAAACCAAUAUGGAGGCACAACAUCCUGGACGCUGACGGCAUCUGUUCCCCCGGUGAGAGGGUGGAGAACAAGCAGGUGCUGGUGAACAAAUCAAUGCCAACCGUCACUCAGACGCCACUGGAGGGCAGCGCCCAGCCAGGUCAGCCACAGUACAGAGACGUUCCCAUCAGCUAUAAGGGCUCAACAGACUCGUACAUCGAGAAGGUCAUGAUCUCGUCCAACGCUGAAGAAGCCUUCCUCAUCAAGAUCCUCCUGAGGCAGACGAGGAGACCAGAGAUAGGAGAUAAAUUCAGCAGUCGACACGGGCAGAAAGGUGUGUGUGGCCUCAUCGUCCCUCAGGAGGACAUGCCGUUCUGUGACACUGGGAUCUGUCCAGAUAUCAUCAUGAAUCCCCACGGAUAUCCGUCCAGAAUGACGGUUGGAAAGUUGAUAGAGCUGCUUGCUGGGAAGGCGGGGGUCCUGGACGGACGGUUUCACUACGGGACGGCCUUUGGAGGCAGCAAAGUGAAGGAUGUGUGUGAGGAUCUGAUCCGAUAUGGAUACAACUACCAGGGCAAGGACUACGUCACCUCAGGAAUCACCGGAGAACCUCUGGAGGCGUACAUCUACUUCGGACCGGUCUACUACCAGAAGCUGAAGCACAUGGUUCUGGACAAGAUGCAUGCCAGAGCUCGAGGGCCCAGAGCUGUUCUCACCAGGCAGCCAACCGAGGGUCGCUCCAGGGACGGAGGUCUGCGAUUGGGAGAGAUGGAGCGUGAUUGCUUGAUUGGCUACGGAGCGAGCAUGUUGCUGCUGGAGCGUCUGAUGAUCUCCAGCGACGCCUUCGAGGUGGACGUGUGCGGACAGUGUGGCCUGCUGGGAUACUCUGGCUGGUGUCACUACUGUAAGUCUUCCUGCCAUGUUUCGUCGCUGAGGAUUCCGUACGCCUGCAAGCUGCUGUUCCAGGAGCUGCAGUCCAUGAACAUCAUCCCUCGCCUCAAGCUGUCACGCUACAACGAGUGAGCGGAGGCAGGGACAGAAGCGCAGGCAGACGCCUCAGCCAGAGCUGACAUCUCUCAUUUUGGAGGCCACGUGACGAGCAGACAGCUGGACUCGGGUCGCCGCGGCGCUCGCUGACAUCACUCGGACAUUGAGCGCCAGCGCCCAAGUCGUGUCGAUGUCAGCGGGGAGAGAAAGCUGCUUUGAGUCGUAUGGUUUCCUCUUUAAACUGUAGCCACCAACAACGUCGCUUGCAGCGUAACCACACCCCCCACUUGCAUGCACACACGCACGACCACCCCCAUACACACACACACACACACACCCCCAUACACACGCAUGCACGGCUCAACUGGGGCCUUUUUUUAACGCCACAAAAGCAAGGAUGUAUGCGUUUGUAAGUGAGAGUGUGAUAAUAAUAAGAGGCUGCACAUGUUCUUCUCCACGAGGUUGUAACGAGGAAAUAAAAAUAUACACAUUUUAAUGAUUGAAAUGAAUCAGAUCUUGUUUGCUUUGCACCUGUUCCUGUCUGAGAGCGACGCAGAGCGAGAGUCUGGGGGUGCAGCCGCGCCUCCUCGCCCUGCCGUGCAUCAGGUGUCUGCAGCAGCAUGGAGUAUCAGCCUGCGAGCCGAGAAAGAGAAAGUCCUCCUUCGCCUACCGUGGUGUGCUCUCAGGCACUCCAUCAGAGCCCUCCCAGCCUCGGGCUUUGCACUUUUACUUCCACCCCCCCGUCUUCUUUUGUGGCCGUUCCCUCUUCU